rnacentral:rRNA from 1 species
UACGUGGGGGGCAAGCGUUGUCCGGAAUCAUUGGGCGUAAAGCGCGCAUAGGCGGCCCGGUAAGUCCGCUGUAAAAGUCCAGGGCUCAACCCUGGAAAGCCGGUGGAUACUGUCGGGCUAGAGUCCGGAAGAGGCGAGUGGAAUUCCUGGUGUAGCGGUGGAAUGCGCAGAUAUCAGGAGGAACACCGAUAGCGAAGGCAGCUCGCUGGGACGGUACUGACGCUGAGGCGCGAAAGCGUGGGGAGCGAACAGG